UACGAAGGGGCUAGCGUUGCUCGGAAUCACUGGCGUAAAGCGCACGUAGGCGGAUUGCUAAGUCAGGGGUGAAAUCCUGGAGCUCAACUCCAGAACUGCCUUUGAUACUGGCGAUCUCGAGUCCGGGAGAGGUGAGUGGAACUGCGAGUGUAGAGGUGAAAUUCGUAGAUAUUCGCAAGAACACCAGUGGCGAAGGCGGCUCACUGGCCCGGUACUGACGCUGAGGUGCGAAAAGCGUGGGGAGCAAACAGG
rnacentral:rRNA from 1 species